AGCCUCGUACGUCCCCGUCCGCGUGUUCCACUCACCGUCAGUAAUCCACGACCGCCCCUGCUUGGGGUUCACCAAUCCCGGUAGGUGGGCAUUGGCGGGGCACCGUACACGAUGUGUCCGUUGCGCCUCGUCCUGGUGUUCCUCUCCGCCGCCCUCGCUGGAUUCUUCGCCUGGAAAUCGAUCCGCUCCCCUCCCCCUUCCCCGAUCUCCGAUGACUCCCAGGAGGUCGGCGCCUCCCUCGGCGACUCCUCCAUCAAAGGCCGGAUCCUCGGCGCUGGAAAGGUGAUUGAGAAUGGGUACUGGGUGUUUCUUGAUAUGGCCAGCGGGAGGUACUUGUGGAGGGCGAUGAAAGAAAGGUGAGAAGUUGGACGAAAUCGAUGAUUUGGGGGUUCUUUUGGAGCACGCACUCGGUAUCCUUUUUCGAUGAAAUUGGAUAGUGUUCUAUGCAUUGGAUUGCAAUUUAGCUGAUGUGCCUCGGAAUUCGAUUUAAAGUUGUUGUUUCCUGUUCGAAUGAUUGUCUCUUGAGAUCCGAUUCAUUGUUUGUGGUGAUUAUUGUCGUAGUCUCGUCGAUUUAUAUGCUAUACUAUGAAUUUGUCUUAUUAGACGGUGUUAAAUCGAUCAAAAACAUCAAAAAAUUAGCUUUUAAUUUGCCAAUGUAAUGUCUUGUUUUUCUUAUCUCGUUCUUUGAAGAUUCAGUUGAUGAGCAACAAAUUGUACUCUGACAUAGGUCUUGGUUUCAUCAGUCUUUAUCAGAAUCCAGAAAACUAUCUCUUCCAUUUUAAUUUCGUGUUCAUGAGCUCAAACUGAUUGAUAAUAAACCUGACAAGAAAACAGUAGAGAGUAGAAGACACUGAAGGCAAAAAAAUAACUUGCUUCGAUAUGUACCCAUAAAUCCAUAGAAGCAGCAAAUAGAGAAUUUGGACUUUGAUGGUUGCAUUGACAAGGUUCCAUUGCUCGACAAAGACUAUCGUAUCAUCGACAUUUAUGGGAAUUUUAUAGUGAUAUUGUUGGCUUUGAUUCUUGCACUAUAUAUGUAGCAAUCUCUCGACGAAAAAUUUGUUGGAGAAACUUAAUGUUACUUCCUUGAAGGUUAACAUUUGCUAUACUUAUUGUGGUUGCCUAUUCUUUGGCAAUUAUACUUUUGUGUCAAUUCAUUUGACUCGCCUUUCUGAUUUCUCAUCGGUUGACAUCAUUUUUUAUACUAGUUAUUUAUUUCCUUUUCUAUCUAAGCGAAUAUUCGCCAGCUUCUCCCUUUUUUUUUCCGACAUGAAAGAUGCCAUCAUGUACUUUUAUGGAGGAAUUGCAUCAAAAAAUUUCAAGGUUUUAUGUUCAAUCCUAGUAAGAGAUGUAUGCUGUUGGAUCAUUUUCUACCACCAGAUUCUUGUCCUCGGAUACCCAUAGAUGAAGCUUUGUGAAGCUCUCUGCCUUAUCCUUACUCGAUGCAUUAAUCUAGCAUAUACAUUCGUUGCCACCUUUCUGUAAUUUGUUGCUGCCUUAUCAUGUCGUCGUUUUAUUAAAAGCACUUCAAUUCUUUCUUCUCUGUCAUAUAUUUAAAUAACUUUCGCCAUGAAUUCACUUUGUUUUCUACAAUUAUAUGUUCAUCGACACUCCUAUAUCUGAAAAUAUUGCCUUGUUAAUUUAAUAGCAAAUUUUAUCGGCUUCAAAGGUUCGUUACUUGCACGUUCGUAUAUCCUCAAUGAAAUCGCUACCGAAGCUACCAUAAUCAGAUGUUCGAGGUCUUAUUUUCAUUUAAUAUCCUAUGAAAAGUUCUUUGUUUUAUUCCUUCGAUGUAUAUGCUGUAAGCGAUGCCAGAUUAUAGGUAUUUACGAGCAGAAGUUGCAGCCUUCGUUUAAUGUAAGAAACAAUCGCCAUCAUCAAGAUCAUAUCUUGACUGUUUCUGUAUGAACAAAAAGCUAAGCUUCGCGGUGCAAUGCCAUUUAUUGUAAUCUAUUUUGUUUCUAAUGGAAAUGAGGUUGAUGUCAACUUUGUCGACAUUCUGUUUCUUAUGUGAUGCCAAGUAAAUUACCAGUAAGCAAGCCUUUGGAUGAUCUCUUUUGGAGAUACAUGACAAGAACAGAGCCAGUGAUUCCAACCUUCUUAUAUACACUUCUGUUCUCUAGCAAAUGGUAAGUAAUGCUUAAGCUUAGCCGAGAGGCACAUGCCCUUGAGAAAGCAUGAAUUGGAAAUCUGGCAUCGCAGCGCCACGCUUUCUUCUGGAGUGAGAGGCUAGAAGGCAUUGGUUGCAUGAUCAGGUAAUUGGUGAUCAUACAUUGCCAUUUGGAUUGCUUUCAGUGGUUUCCAGGAUCUCAAUCUCCCACUUGUACAAGCAUCUGAUUCCACCCUCCACCAAUAAGUUUGGUUCAUGCAGAACAAUCUUUUUGAUGGAACUGUAUGUUACUCGUACUGCUUGGAAUAGAUUCUCUUCUUUCUCCAGAAAAUGUACUCAACCCUGUAUAUGAGCAAAUUGCAUGAGAAUUGUCAGGUCUCAAAGCAGAGGGGCUGGGGCUGCUGCAUGGGGAGGGCUUCUUCCACAGACAGACUCGUCGCCAUCGCGUUGGGGCUCCUCGCGGUGCUGUCGCCGCUGUACGUCAACAGGAAAACGACGGUCAAGCCGGAUGAUGAAGACGACGGCAGCGGAGCUCUUCUGUCCCUGUGGCUCCCGCUGGCGCUCAUACUUCUGGUCGUCAUCAUCAACCUCGCAUGGUUCGUGGAGCGGAGGAUCGUGAGGCUCGACCCCUACUGGAUACACAGGUUCGGAGGGUCUUCCUGUGGGAUCAUGAUACUGCUCUUGGUUCUUGGAGUCUUGUUGAAAUGUAAAGCUUCUCUGGGAGGUUGAUCUUGAUGUUGCUGUCUGUUAGUUUACUGGCAUUUCGUCAAACACAUGUAGCGAAGAAGAUGGAGGAGUGUUUGUGGAAUCAACCUGUUGGGUUUUCACCCCUGGAAUGAACUGCUAAGAUUUCUGAUUGUAAUUAUGAAAAGUUGUGCUCCUCUUUCAUCA